GUGAGAAAACUGCCCAGAUUGCUAUCCAAAUUAAAAUAAACGAUACGCAUAUUUUCUGAGGCUGAGUGAAGGAGCACAGAGAACCUCGAGGUUGUUGUCUUUGUCCUUGUCUAUUUUUGUGUUUUGCUGCUAGUUCAUUAUUGCCAUUUGCUGUGUUUGAAGAUGGGUGAAACUAUUUCGCGACCACUGCCGGGCGAAAGCCCUGUUGAUUUCAUGAGGAGAAAUAAUAAGGCAUAUUAUGUUGAUCCUUAUGUGUCAAAUUUGGCUGGUUGGUCUGAGGCUCUUUACCCACAAGUGGACCCUGCUUAUCCGAGAACAGGCUCAUUUACUAAAGAAGGCAUGCGGUUGGCUGAAAAUAUGUCUAUUCACGGCUUAGCCGACCCAGAUUGGGAUAUUUCAUAUGUUAAGUUAUGUCUUUAAAUGCCACUAAUAAUGUGUUUCUGUUUUCUUUCUCAUUAUGCUAACAAACGCUCUUUUACCCCUCAUGUUAGGUGGAUCAACACUCCAACCAUCUGCAUGGAUGCCCUCUGUAGGCUGGCUGGGAAUGUUAGAUCAGACGGAUCAACAUUCCAUCCAUCUGCAUUAGGAUCUACCUUAGAGACACUCACUGGAGCUGUAAAGGGAAGCAGGUCACUUACUUUUCAUUCGUCCUUGGUGGUCACCCCAGGGUCUCUAGAGUGAAAAUUACUCAAUCUAUGGAUUAAACAGAAAAUGUAGUUUUAUGAAGUG